rnacentral:rRNA from 1 species
UACGUAGGUGGCAAGCGUUGUCCGGAAUCACUGGGCGUAAAGGGUGCGUAGGCGGGUCUUUAAGUCAGGGGUGAAAUCCUGGAGCUCAACUCCAGAACUGCCUUUGAUACUGAGAAGCUUGAGUCCGGGAGAGGUGAGUGGAACUGCGAGUGUAGAGGUGAAAUUCGUAGAUAUUCGCAAGAACACCAGUGGCGAAGGCGGCUCACUGGCCCGGUACUGACGCUGAGGUGCGAAGGCUAGGGUAGCAAACAGG